rnacentral:rRNA from 1 species
GGUGCCAAUGGCGAUGAGGGUCCACCCGUUCCCAUUCCGAACACGGCAGUUAAGCUCAUCCGCGCUGAAAAUACUUGGAGGGCAGCCUCCUGGGAAGAUAAGGCGGCGCCG